rnacentral:rRNA from 1 species
UACGGGGGGGGCAAGCGUUGUUCGGAAUUACUGGGCGUAAAGGGCUCGUAGGCGGCCAACUAAGUCAGACGUGAAAUCCCUCGGCUUAACCGGGGAACUGCAUCUGAUACUGGAUGGCUUGAGUUCGGGAGAGGGAUGCGGAAUUCCAGGUGUAGCGGUGAAAUGCGUAGAUAUCUGGAGGAACACCGGUGGCGAAGGCAGCCCCCUGGGUUAACACUGACGCUCAGGCACGAAAGCGUGGGGAGCAAACAGG